rnacentral:lncRNA from 1 species
UCCCGCGAUAUUCAAGGAAUGAGAUACAGAAAAGAUAUCCAAUAACAGUUAGUUGUUCAAAUGGACAUGAAUUUAUAGUUGACUACAUUUCGAAAAGUUAAACAUAACAUCUUCCAAUAACAAAUUUUCACAAACAUAGACAUCAUUGCUAUUCCCUAUGCUUUCCCUUGCUGUUACCUUUCGAUUUUCCUUUUUCCUUUUGGAUAGAUAUGUUGAAUGAAAUCUCCUCAUCUUCUUCAAUUUUUCAUUCGACAACACUUUCCAAUAUAGCUUGAUUGACUUCCAUCGCAAACGCCAAUACACUUUCCUUCAAAUUGCACUUCUUCCAGGACUUAGCAUAAAUACUCACAGGGGAUUAAUUCCAGUGCACAGGUUUGCGACACAAUGGACAUAGCUUGCUCUUCACUAGCCCGACAGAUAUACAUUUGUAAUGAUAAGCAUGUGGACAUGGCAGAAUCGAUAUUUCUUCUCCAACACAAGGCUUGUUCAAACAAAUACAACACUCUUUGUUCUGGAUCAUCAACCUUUAUUUUAACCUUCUCCAUAUAUUCUGGUGUUGCAGACACGGAUGUAGCAGUAGACACAGAUGUAGUUGUAGUCUGAACGAGAAGAUUCUGUUCAUAUUUUAUCCCCCGCCCCAAACGUUUCCACUACAAUGGCCAUGUCCUUGGCAGCAUCAAUAGUUUAUCCUCUUCUUGUAUUGGGUAAACUUGAAUGCACACGAGCACUGGGAAUGAUCUGUGCCCAGCAUUCAAUGGAUCAGCCUUCAUUUGAUCGAUAAAAUCAGUAAUUUGGUGAUGGAAUCCUUCCCUUACAUCAUCAUAACGCAACCCAUGAUAACGCAUCAUCAUAAAUACCCAUGUUCUUUCCAGCCAUUUAGUAAUGUAACUGCAAGAACGAUAACUUCAACGUACAAUUCAAGAUACAUAAUAUGUUGUAAUGUUGUUCAACAUCAAUAUAAUAUAAGUGUGGGAUGAAAAAAGGAGAAAUUUCUUAUUCAAGGUAUGAACUAUGAACAAAUUGUAACUUCAACUAUAUGUUGAAAUUCAUAACAGAAAUAUCAACUGAUAUGCCUAUCAGUUCAAAAAUUGAAUGUUCAUGUACUCACUCAAAUUCCGUUCUUCAAAAAUAUAGAAAAUUGAAUGUUCACGUAUUCACUCACAUUCUAAGCACUAUCCAAAAGAUAAACAAACUCAUUGUCUCAACAAACUAGAAAUAACGUAGAAAACUCCAAAUAUGAUAUAUUCCUCCCUAAAUUAGGCAGCAAAAUUUUCUAAUAUGGCUUCCAAAAGACACCGUGUAUUCAGUAUAAAUCUACCAAAUUCAUGUCCAGAGAAAAGCUAGGUAUAAAACUUCGAAAAUUUCGACCCAAAAAAAAAAAAAAAAAAAAAGAAGAAGAAGAAAUCCACCCAAACAAAAAUGAAAUCCAUUUUAAAACAACGCAUAGUCAAGUUAAAGAUGUCGUCGAACAUUUAUCUCAAUCGAUCUGCUCAUCGUCGCUGUUAUUUUAUCUCCAAUCAAUCGCUCGCCAUCGGCCGUCAAAGGAUUUCAAUUAGAGAGAGCUAU